GGCUCUAUAGUGUAGUGGUUAUCACCUCGGAUUCUGAUUCCGGUAACCGCGGUUCGAGUCCGCGUAGGGCCU
rnacentral:tRNA from 1 species